GACGAACGCUGGCGGCGUGCCUAAUACAUGCAAGUCGAGCGGACCACUUCGGUGGUCAGCGGCGGACGGGUGAGUAACACGUGGGCAACCUGCCUGUAAGACUGGGAUAACACCGGGAAACCGGUGCUAAUACCGGAUAAUCCUUUCCUUCACAUGAAGGGAAGCUGAAAGACGGUUUCGGCUGUCACUUACAGAUGGGCCCGCGGCGCAUUAGCUAGUUGGGGAGGUAACGGCUCACCAAGGCAACGAGGCGUAGCCGACCGGAGAGGGUGAUCGGCCACACUGGGACUGAGACACGGCCCAGACUCCUACGGGAGGCAGCAGUAGGGAAUCUUCCGCAAUGGACGAAAGUCUGACGGAGCAACGCCGCGUGAGCGAUGAAGGCCUUCGGGUCGUAAAGCUCUGUUGUCAGGGAAGAACAAGUACCGGAGUAACUGCCGGUACCUUGACGGUACCUGACCAGAAAGCCACGGCUAACUACGUGCCAGCAACCGCCGUAACAC
rnacentral:rRNA from 1 species